AGUCGAGCGGUUGACGGAAGCUUGCUUCCUGAUUCAGCGGCGGACGGGUGAGUAAUGCCUAGGAAUCUGCCUGGUAGUGGGGGACAACGUUUCGAAAGGAACGCUAAUACCGCAUACGUCCUACGGGAGAAAGCAGGGGACCUUCGGGCCUUGCGCUAUCAGAUGAGCCUAGGUCGGAUUAGCUAGUUGGUGAGGUAAUGGCUCACCAAGGCGACGAUCCGUAACUGGUCUGAGAGGAUGAUCAGUCACACUGGAACUGAGACACGGUCCAGACUCCUACGGGAGGCAGCAGUGGGGAAUAUUGGACAAUGGGCGAAAGCCUGAUCCAGCCAUGCCGCGUGUGUGAAGAAGGUCUUCGGAUUGUAAAGCACUUUAAGUUGGGAGGAAGGGCAGUAAGCGAAUACCUUGCUGUUUUGACGUUACCGACAGAAUAAGCACCGGCUAACUCUGUGCCAGCAGCCGCGGUAAUACAGAGGGUGCAAGCGUUAAUCGGAAUUACUGGGCGUAAAGCGCGCGUAGGUGGUUUGUUAAGUUGAAUGUGAAAUCCCCGGGCUCAACCUGGGAACUGCAUCCAAAACUGGCAAGCUAGAGUAGGGCAGAGGGU
rnacentral:rRNA from 1 species